UACGGAGGGUGCAAGCGUUAUCCGGAUUCACUGGGUUUAAAGGGUGCGUAGGUGGGCAGGUAAGUCAGUGGUGAAAUCUCCGGGCUUAACUCGGAAACUGCCAUUGAUACUAUCUGUCUUGAAUACCGUGGAGGUCAGCGGAAUAUGUCAUGUAGCGGUGAAAUGCUUAGAUAUGACAUAGAAUACCGAUUGCGAAGGCAGCUUACUACACAGAUAUUGACGCUCAUGCACGAAAGCGUGGGGAUCAAACAGG
rnacentral:rRNA from 1 species